ACAACGAAGAGUUUGAUCCUGGCUCAGGAUGAACGCUAGCGACAGGCUUAACACAUGCAAGUCGAGGGGCAGCACAGGUAGCAAUACCGGGUGGCGACCGGCGCACGGGUGAGUAACGCGUAUGCAACUUGCCUAUCAGAGGAGGGGAUAACCCGGCGAAAGUCGGACUAAUACCGCAUGAAGCAGGGGCCCCGCAUGGGGAUAUUUGCUAAAGAUUCAUCGCUGAUAGAUAGGCAUGCGUUCCAUUAGGCAGUUGGCGGGGUAACGGCCCACCAAACCGACGAUGGAUAGGGGUUCUGAGAGGAAGGUCCCCCACAUUGGUACUGAGACACGGACCAAACUCCUACGGGAGGCAGCAGUGAGGAAUAUUGGUCAAUGGGCGUAAGCCUGAACCAGCCAAGUCGCGUGAGGGAUGAAGGUUCUAUGGAUCGUAAACCUCUUUUAUAAGGGAAUAAAGUGUGGGACGUGUCCCGUUUUGUAUGUACCUUAUGAAUAAGGAUCGGCUAACUCCGUGCCAGCAGCCGCGGUAAUACGGAGGAUCCGAGCGUUAUCCGGAUUUAUUGGGUUUAAAGGGUGCGUAGGCGGCCUUUUAAGUCAGCGGUGAAAGUCUGUGGCUCAACCAUAGAAUUGCCGUUGAAACUGGGGGGCUUGAGUAUGUUUGAGGCAGGCGGAAUGCGUGGUGUAGCGGUGAAAUGCAUAGAUAUCACGCAGAACCCCGAUUGCGAAGGCAGCCUGCCAAGCCAUUACUGACGCUGAUGCACGAAAGCGUGGGGAUCAAACAGGAUUAGAUACCCUGGUAGUCCACGCAGUAAACGAUGAUCACUAGCUGUUUGCGAUACACUGUAAGCGGCACAGCGAAAGCGUUAAGUGAUCCACCUGGGGAGUACGCCGGCAACGGUGAAACUCAAAGGAAUUGACGGGGGCCCGCACAAGCGGAGGAACAUGUGGUUUAAUUCGAUGAUACGCGAGGAACCUUACCCGGGUUUGAACGCAUUCGGACCGAGGUGGAAACACCUUUUCUAGCAAUAGCCGUUUGCGAGGUGCUGCAUGGUUGUCGUCAGCUCGUGCCGUGAGGUGUCGGCUUAAGUGCCAUAACGAGCGCAACCCUUGCCACUAGUUACUAACAGGUGAUGCUGAGGACUCUGGUGGGACUGCCAGCGUAAGCUGCGAGGAAGGCGGGGAUGACGUCAAAUCAGCACGGCCCUUACAUCCGGGGCGACACACGUGUUACAAUGGCGUGGACAAAGGGAGGCCACCUGGCGACAGGGAGCGAAUCCCCAAACCACGUCUCAGUUCGGAUCGGAGUCUGCAACCCGACUCCGUGAAGCUGGAUUCGCUAGUAAUCGCGCAUCAGCCAUGGCGCGGUGAAUACGUUCCCGGGCCUUGUACACACCGCCCGUCAAGCCAUGGGAGCCGGGGGUACCUGAAGUCCGUAACCGAAAGGAUCGGCCUAGGGUAAAACUGGUGACUGGGGCUAAGUCGUAACAAGGUAGCCGUACCGGAAGGUGCGGCUGGAACACCUCCUUU
rnacentral:rRNA from 1 species